GUUAGGAAUAUUGGACAAUGGGCGCAAGCCUGAUCCAGCCAUGCCGCGUGAGUGAUGAAGGCCUUCGGGUUGUAAAGCUCUUUAGCCGAUGAUUAUAAUGACUGUAGUCGGAAAAUAAGCCCCGGCUAACUUUGUGCCAGCAGCCGCGGUAAUACGAAGGGGGCGAGCGUUAUUCGGAAUCACUGGGCGUAAAGCGUGAGUAGGCGGCUUUGCAAGUUGGGAGUGAAAGCCCAGGGCUCAACCCUGGAAUUGCUCUCAAAACUGCAAGGCUCGAAUUCGGGAGAGGAUAGCGGAAUUGUCAGUGUAGCAGUGAAAUGCGUAGAUAUUGACAGGAACACCAGUGGCGUAAGCGGCUAUCUGGACCGAUAUUGACGCUGAGGCACGAAAGCGUGGGGAUCAAACAGGAUUAGAAACCCUGAGUAGUCC
rnacentral:rRNA from 1 species